rnacentral:rRNA from 1 species
AACGCUGGCGGCAUGCCUAACACAUGCAAGUCGAACGGGGGUAGCAAUACCCUAGUGGCGAACGGGUGAGUAACACAUAAGCAAUCUGCCCUUCACAGGGGGAUAACAGCGGGAAACUGCUGCUAAUACCGCAUAAGACCACGGUACCGCAUGGUACAGGGGUAAAAACGAAUCAGUGGUGAAGGAUGAGCUUAUGUCCCAUUAGCUAGUUGGUGAGAUAACAGCCCACCAAGGCGACGAUGGGUAGCCGACCUGAGAGGGUGAUCGGCCACACUGGAACUGAGACACGGUCCAGACUCCUACGGGAGGCAGCAGUGGGGAAUAUUGGGCAAUGGAGGAAACUCCUUACCCAGCAAUGCCGCGUGAGUGAAGAAGGUCUUCGGAUUGUAAAGCUCUUUGAUUGGGGACGAAGAAAGUGACGGUACCCAAAGAACAAGCUCCGGCUAACUACGUGCCAGCAGCCGC